UUAUUACUCCCUCCGUUCAAAAUUACUUGUCGUAGAAAUAGAUGUAUUUAGAUGUAUUUUAGUUCUAGAUACAUCCAUUUUCGAGACAAGUAAUUCCGAACGGAGGGAGUAGUAA
rnacentral:pre_miRNA from 1 species